CGGAUCUUGGUUGGCCGGUCCCGCCCCUGUCACGUGACAGCGUGCGCCUCUCUUCCUGCUUUCCUGACCCUCUCCGCCAUUUAAAGAAACAGUACCGGGGGCGGGCCGAGCGACGCAGCCGGGACGGUAGCUGCGGUGCGGACCGGAGGAGCCAUCUUGUCUCGUCGCCGGGGAGUCAGGCCCCUAAAUCGAAGAAGCCCUGGCGCGCCCUCCCCCCCUCCCGGGUCUGGUAGGGCGAAGGAACGGGCGUGCGGUCGAUCGAGCGAUCGGUUGGCGGCUCUUUCUCCUGCUCUGGCAUCCAGCUCUUGGGGCGCAGGCCCGGCCGCCGCGGCGCGCGCCCGGUGGCCGUUGGCGCUCGCGCCGCGUCUUUCUUCUCGUACGCAGAACUCGGGCGGCGGCCUAUGCGUUUGCGAUUCGACGAGGAGUCGUCCGGGUGGUCGGCGGCGGCGGGCAGCUGCUCCGCCCCGCUCCGGGGGAGGCGGCGGCGGCAGCGGCCGCGGGAUUUGGAGCGGCCGGGGAGGCGGGGGUGGCCGGGGCCGGCUUGGAGGCCUGGCGCCACCCUUCGGGGCCUGCAAGGACCCAGUUGGGGGGGCAGGAGGGGGCCGGAGGAUGGUUGGUUGUGGGAUUUCUACUUUGCCUUUUCCUCCUUAUGCCGCCUUAGUGAGGGGCGGGAGCUCUGGCGGCAGCCCCGGGGUGGGGAGACGAGCUCCGGAGUCGGAAGAGCUGGGUUUUCUUCCGGGCCUAGCCACCAGUUGGCGGAGUGACCUUAGGCGAGUCACUCUGUAAUUUGUCUGCGCCUCAGUUUCCUCCUCUGCCUAUCAAUGUGUGUGGGGUUGAAAUCGCUUUGUAAACUAUAAAGCGUGGGUGUACGUAAAGGAUGGUUAUUGUUUAUAAUUUUUUUUGAGUUGUAAGAAAACUUAGCAGUUCCCCAAUCCUUGGGUUUUGAACCUGGGAACCUUGGAUUGGAGUUGGGGAUCCCCAAACUUCCUGAAAUUGUGGGAAUGUGCGGUUUGGGGGAAUGAUGGGAAUUUGUGGGAAUGUGCGUUUUAGGGGAAUGAUGAUCCAUCGCUAGCAAGUUUUCCAAGGGGGCUGUGACCCAGAAGAGUUAAGAAUCACAAUUUCUUCAUGCUACAGAGAGGAAACUGAGGCCUAGAUGUCAUUUGGGACCCUUCACAACCAUUUUGAAGCCCUGUUUGAGUCCCUGGGAUAUGUGAGCUGUUUCUAUGCAUAAUGGAUAUUCGGGGUUAACAACAGUCCCCUGCUUGGCUUCUAUUCUGAAUCCUUUUCUUUCACCAUGGGGUGCCUGAAGGGUGGCUGAUGCAUAUGGUACAAUGGCACCCAGUGUAAAGCAGCUACAAUUAGGAGUGGAUGUGUUCUGUAGCAUCCUAUUUAAAUAAGCCUAUUUUAUCCUUUGGCCCGUCAACUCUGUUAUCUGCUGCUUGUACUGGUGCCUGUACUUUUCUGACUCUCAUUGACCAUAUUCCACGACCAUGGUUGUCAUCCAUUACUUGAUCCUACUUUACAUGUCUAGGCUGUGUGGUUGGUGGUGAAUAGGCUUCUUUUUACAUGGUGCUGCCAGCCCAGCUAAUUAAUGGUGCACGUGGACUUUUAGCAAGCGGGCUCACUGGAAGAGACUGAACCUGGCAUGGAAUUCCUGAAGAUGUUUGGGGUUUUUUUCUUUCUUAAUCGAAAGUUAACAUUGUCUGAAAAGUUUUGUUAGAACUACUGCGGAACCUCAAAAUCAGUAGAUUUGGAAGUGAUUCAAAGCUAAACUUUUUCCUUGGCCCUCCUUGUGUUCUAAUUGCUUGCAAGUGUAAUACUAGGAUGUCCAAGAUGCCAGUUUUUGCUUCUUUGUUAGUUGUCAGCUGCUUUUAUCAAAUUUCAGGCCAUUAUCCAACAAACACUAUAAAAAUGUUUGAACAAUUGGAUUUCAAACAUUUUCGUUUUGUGGAGUGGUGCUCACCAAGUGGUACAGCCCUAAGCAAGUGAACACAAACACAUUUAAGUGUAUUUUGUCUGAUUAGAUGUUAGCCAGUUAUGCUAUUUCAUUCAAAUGUCUGAAAAAAUCAAUUGACUAUUCCCUUUUCCUAAAGGGCAGAGACAGAUAAUCUCACUUCCAGAGAAAUGACUUGGAGAAAAAAAAGUGUUGGUCUUUUUGCUCUUUUGUAAUUAAAUCCGGAUGUACCUCAAAAGACUUAAGACUGUGGUGAUAAGAUGCUUUCCUCAGCAGAAAGGAGGGAAAAAAAACAACUGGAACUCAAAGCUUGAAAUUCUGUGGCAAAACAUGAGAUGUCCAGGAUUGGAGGUUGAAAAGAUUUCACUACAGUGUUCUGCAAUAGUUGGAGCAGAUAACUUUCAGUGUAGCCACAGCCAUGGACUCCAGAUUUCCAGAUUUUCAAGACCUGGACCUGGAACCCGAAAGAGCUUGUCACGAUGCGGCAGGAACACUGGAGGUAGAUUUUUUUUUAUUUUUGAAUUUUGGGACUGUUGACCUUGCUGUGAGAAAAGAGACAACGACUGAGCAAGCACUACCACCAGCACUGUUACUGGGAAUUAGAAGACCUGAGUUUCUGUCCAGACCCUCAGUGCAAACUGAGGAUGCUCCAUCCAAAGUGAAUUAUGCCUACAGACCUGGUACCUGGAUUUUUGCCCGAGAUGAUUCCUACCACCUUACUACUGACGAAGACACCCAUUCCAGUGGACCACUGUGACCCAGGAGGCAUUCAGCCAUCAUGAUGUGGCCUUUACCUCCACUCCUGUCUUGUUCUACCCAGAUUCAGCACAGCCCUUUAUAGUGAAGUCAGAGUCCUCAAGCCAAAUAGCUAAAGCUGUUUUAUCACAACAAAGGCCUAGUUUGUUCCAUGAGUGUGCAUUUCAUUUCUUCAGUUAAAGCCUUCAGAGACACACAAUAAAUUUGGACCAGGGGAUUUUUUAGUUAUUAAUGCUCUCUGAAGAAAGGCAACAUCUUUUUGAGAGCAGCAUUGGACCACACCCCACAAUCUCAAAUGAUUGAAAUUCAUGAACAUCUAGGAUCCCGUGAAGGUCACUGGACCCUGUUUUUUCUACUUCAAAUCCUGUAGUAGCCUACUGAAUGAGAAAACAUAUUCUGACCCAUUGGGAUCAAAUCAAAGGCACAGUGAACUCCUCAUAGCAUCUUCUUUGGAAUUACUCAGGAACCAGAACUUUUUACACAAAUGUAAGAAAUUCUACCAAGGAGUCCCCUUACCUAACAGCAUCUCACAAGGCUGCACCAGAUUCCAGAAAAGGCUUCUCUUGAUACAUCAAGGUAGA
rnacentral:lncRNA from 1 species